UCCGUAUGGGGCGAGCGUUGUUCGGAUUUAUUGGGCGUAAAGGGCGUGUAGGCGGCUCAUCAAGUCUGGCGUGAAAACGCAAGGCUUACCCUUGCAUAGGCGCUGGAAACUGGUGGGCUUGAGUUCUUGAGGGGAAGCUGGAAUUCCAGGUGUAGGGGUGAAAUCUGUAGAUAUCUGGAAGAACACCGGUGGCGAAGGCGAGCUUCUAUCAGAGGACUGACGCUGAGGCGCGAAAGCGUGGGGAGCAAACAGG
rnacentral:rRNA from 1 species